rnacentral:tRNA from 1 species
GGUGGAGUCUCGAUGGCCGGGUUAAGACCGCAUCGGUCUUGAAAACUGUCGUGGCAGCGAUGUCACCGUGGGUUCAAAUCCCACACCCACCG